rnacentral:rRNA from 1 species
AACGAACGCUGGCGGCAUGCCUAACACAUGCAAGUCGAACGAGACCUUCGGGUCUAGUGGCGCACGGGUGCGUAACGCGUGGGAACCUGCCCUUAGGUUCGGAAUAACUCCCCGAAAGGGGUGCUAAUACCGGAUAAUGUCUUCGGACCAAAGAUUUAUCGCCUUUGGAUGGGCCCGCGUUGGAUUAGCUAGUUGGUAGGGUAAAAGCCUACCAAGGCGACGAUCCAUGGUUGGUCUGAGAGGAUGAUCAGCCACACUGGGACUGAGACACGGCCCAGACUCCUACGGGAGGCAGCAGUGGGGAAUAUUGGACAAUGGGCGAAAGCCUGAUCCAGCAAUGCCGCGUGAGUGAUGAAGGCCUUAGGGUUGUAAAGCUCUUUUACCCGGGAUGAUAAUGACAGUACCGGGAGAAUAAGCUCCGGCUAACUCCGUG